rnacentral:rRNA from 1 species
UGCGUAGGCGGCGUAUCAAGUCAGAAAGUGAAAGCCCUCGGCUCAACCGAGGAAUUGCUUUUGAAACUGGUACGCUAGAGUCUCGGAGAGGUUGGCGGAAUUCCAGGUGUAGGAGUGAAAUCCGUAGAUAUCUGGAGGAACACCAGUGGCGAGGGCGGCCAACUGGACGAGAACUGACGCUGAGGUACGAAAGCGUGGGUAGCAAACA